GGAGGCCCGGCGGGUGUGAUGGCGGGCGUGAUGGCGUCCGCCCGGCGUGGCCGCCGUUGCGCUUUGUGCCUUUCCGGCCUGGUCGUGUUGUGUGUGGGCGUUAAAGGCGCCCGAAGCGAUUUGGCAGUGAGUGUCGAUGUGCUGUUCUGCUGGGGAAACCGACUCCAGAAAUGCCAUCUGAGGGAACAGACGUCCUGGCAGAUAGAACAAACCAGGUGUGAGCACUGUCUUUCCAAAGUUACACCGAAGCCGUUGGAGGAAAGGUCGGACCUCAGGCCUUCCCGCGGCACCAACUACUGUCGGCGGAUUUGCGCACAGAUCCUUCACAGCUGUUUCAAAGAACCAUUCUGUGAUUCUAUGAUCUUCCAGGACCGUUCCAAGCCACACCAUCCUGUGGUUCUAUGAUCUUCCUGGACUCUUCCAACACAAACCAUUCUAUGGUUCUGUGAUCACUAAGGAACCUCCCAAGCCACGCCGUCCUGCAGUUCUAUGAUCUUCCAGGACCCUUCCAACACGGACCAUCCUAUGGUUCUAUGAUCUUCCAGGACCCUCCUGUGCGGGUGAUAUCACCAUGACGUGAUGACCUCACAGAUGCCCUGGGGUGGGG